GGUCCGCUGGCUCAAUGGCAGAGCGUCUGACUACGACCAUCUUCAAUGUCGCUUGAGAUCAGGUAAUCAGGAGGUUCCAGGUUCGACCCCUGGGUGGAUCG